GAGGGAACUCAGAGACCGGUGCCGGUGCUGGUCCUUGGGUUGCAGCCUUGGCCAACGCUCUGGGAUAAAACCACAAACUUCUGCUAAGGAAGGAAUGAGGAGACCCAACCCAGCCCAGAGUGGGCAGGCCCCAGGCACCCAGCACCAGCUCAGCCAGUCUGCACGGGGCACUCCGCCUGCACCUCCUCCCACCCUGGGAAAGAGCCAGCAGCGCUUCCGGCACUUGGGUUUCCAUGGCAACCAGUCACCCUGUGUGAUGAGACGCAAAAGCCACAGGCAGUGAGUGGAACAUUCCUGAAUCUGAAGCCCUCAUUACAGGUCAAUAGAGAAAAAGAAUGUUCCAGAGCCUUCUUCAGCCUGGAAGCUUCUGGCAGGUUCCAGUCACUCUGUGGGCAGUACCAGCUGCAAUCUUGCCACCAGGCCCCACCCACUCUGCACUGCACCACCCCUGGCAUCCCACAGCCUCUGCAGGGGGCACCCCAGGCACCUCCAGGCCACUGGCCCCUGCAUCUUCCGGACCAGUAGAACCAAAUUUCUGUUCCGUGUACUUCUGUUCCGU
rnacentral:lncRNA from 1 species